rnacentral:rRNA from 1 species
CUACGGGUGGCAGCAGUGGGGAAUAUUGGACAAUGGGCGAAAGCCUGAUCCAGCCAUGCCGCGUGUGUGAAGAAGGCCUUCGGGUUGUAAAGCACUUUCAGUGGGGAAGAAAGCCUUGGGGCUAAUACCCUCGAGGAAGGACAUCACCCACAGAAGAAGCACCGGCUAACUCCGUGCCAGCAGCCGCGGUAAUACGGAGGGUGCGAGCGUUAAUCGGAAUUACUGGGCGUAAAGCGCGCGUAGGCGGUCUGAUAAGCCGGUUGUGAAAGCCCCGGGAUCAACCUGGGAACGGCAUCCGGAACUGUCAGGCUAGAGUGCAGGAGAGGAAGGUAGAAUUCCCGGUGUAGCAGUGAAAUGCGUAGAGAUCGGGAGGAAUACCAGUGGCGAAGGCGGCCUUCUGGACUGACACUGACGCUGAGGUGCGAAAGCGUGGGUAGCAAACAGGAUUAGAUACCCCAGUAGUC